GUCUAUCGCCAUACCACCUUGAACGCUCCCAAUCUCAUCUGAUCUCAGAAGCUAAGCAGGGUCGGGCCUGAUUAGUACUUGGAUGGGAGUAAUCUUGUCCUGGGGCCU
rfam:Gorilla gorilla gorilla genomic chromosome, chr16, whole genome shotgun sequence